rnacentral:rRNA from 1 species
GACGAACGCUGGCGGCGUGCCUAAUACAUGCAAGUAGAACGCUGAAGGAGGAGCUUGCUUCUCUGGAUGAGUUGCGAACGGGUGAGUAACGCGUAGGUAACCUGCCUGGUAGCGGGGGAUAACUAUUGGAAACGAUAGCUAAUACCGCAUAAGAGUAGAUGUUGCAUGACAUUUGCUUAAAAGGUGCAAUUGCAUCACUACCAGAUGGACCUGCGUUGUAUUAGCUAGUUGGUGAGGUAACGGCUCACCAAGGCGACGAUACAUAGCCGACCUGAGAGGGUGAUCGGCCACACUGGGACUGAGACACGGCCCAGACUCCUACGGGAGGCAGCAGUAGGGAAUCUUCGGCAAUGGACGGAAGUCUGACCGAGCAACGCCGCGUGAGUGAAGAAGGUUUUCGGAUCGUAAAGCUCUGUUGUAAGAGAAGAACGAGUGUGAGAGUGGAAAGUUCACACUGUGACGGUAUCUUACCAGAAAGGGACGGUUAACUACGUG